CCUACGGGAGGCAGCAGUGAGGAAUAUUGGUCAAUGGCCGGAAGGCUGAACCAGCCAUGCCGCGUGAAGGUCAGUGCCCUAUGGGCGUUAAACUUCUUUUGUGCGGGAGCAAUAAUGGUCACGUGUGGCCAGACGAGAGUACCGUACGAAUAAGCAUCGGCUAACUCCGUGCCAGCAGCCGCGGUAAUACGGGGGAUGCAAGCGUUAUCCGGAUUUAUUGGGUUUAAAGGGUGCGUAGGCUGUGAGGUAAGUCAGCGGUGAAAUGCCCCCGCUCACCGGGGUGAAGUGCCAUUGAUACUGCCUGGCUGGAAUGCGGAUGCCGUGGGAGGAAUGUGUGGUGUAGCGGUGAAAUGCAUAGAUAUCACACAGAACACCGAUUGCGAAGGCAUCUCACGAAUCCGCGAUUGACGCUGAUGCACGAAAGCGUGGGUAUCAAACAGGAUUAGAUACCCUUGUAGUC
rnacentral:rRNA from 1 species